AAAACUGGGGUUAAUUCUCGAUGGGUGAGGAGGCCUGGAAUGGUUCUUCACUGAAAGGGCGCUAGAGGCAUGCUCUCUAACGUUGCCCAAGGAUGGGGCCGCGGCCGAUCAGGUUGUUGGUGAGGUAACGGCUUACCAAGCCUAUAACCGGUACGGGCCGUGAGAGCGGAAGCCCGGAGAUGGGCACUGAGAUAAGGGCCCAGGCCCUACGGGGCGCAGCAGUUACGAAAACUCCGCAAUGCACGAAAGUGUGACGGGGCUACCCCGAGUGCCGUCCGCUGAGGAUGGCUUUUCUCCGCUGUAAGGAGGCGGAGGAAUAAGGAGAGGGCAAGACUGGUGUCAGCCGCCGCGGUAAUACCAGCUCUCCGAGUGGUAGGGAUGAUUAUUGGGCUUAAAGCGUCCGUAGCCGGCCUAGCAAGUCUUCCGUUAAAUCCAGCAACCUAAUUGUUGGGCUGCGGGGGAUACUGUUAGGCUAGGGGCGGAGAG
rnacentral:rRNA from 1 species